rnacentral:rRNA from 1 species
AGUAAUGUAUGGGGAUCUGCCUGAUGGCGGGGGAUAACUACUGGAAACGGUAGCUAAUACCGCAUAAUGUCUGCGGACCAAAGCGGGGGACCUCCGGGCCUCGCGCCAUCAGAUGAACCCAUAUAGGAUUAGCUAGUAGGUAAGGUAACGGCUUACCUAGGCGACGAUCCCUAGCUGGUCUGAGAGGAUGAUCAGCCACACUGGGACUGAGACACGGCCCAG